rnacentral:rRNA from 1 species
GGCGCACGGGUGCGUAACACGUGGGUAAUCUGCCCUUCGAAGGGGAAUAACUCGCCGAAAGGCGAGCUAAUUCCGCAUAACAUUCCGAGAACCUUGGUUUUUGGAUUCAAAGGCGUAAGUCGUCGGAGGAGGAGCCCGCGCACGAUUAGCUAGUUGGUAGGGUAACGGCCUACCAAGGCUAUGAUCGUUAGCUGGUCUGAGAGGAUGGCCAGCCACACUGGAACUGAGACACGGUCCAGACUCCUACGGGAGGCAGCAGUGGGGAAUCUUGCACAAUGGGCGAAAGCCUGAUGCAGCGACGCCGCGUGGGGGAUGAAGCUUCUCGGAGUGUAAACCCCUUUCGAUCCGGACGAAUGCCCCGCAAGGGGACUGACGGU